GAUGAACGCUGGCGGCGUGCCUAAUACAUGCAAGUCGAGCGAAUGGAUUAAGAGCUUGCUCUUAUGAAGUUAGCGGCGGACGGGUGAGUAACACGUGGGUAACCUGCCCAUAAGACUGGGAUAACUCCGGGAAACCGGGGCUAAUACCGGAUGACAUUUUGAACCGCAUGGUUCGAAAUUGAAAGGCGGCUUCGGCUAUCACUUAUGGAUGGACCCGCGUCGCAUUAGCUAGUUGGUGAGGUAACGGCUCACCAAGGCAACGAUGCGUAGCCGACCUGGGAGGGUGAUCGGCCACACUGGGACUGAGACACGGCCCAGACUCCUACGGGAGGCAGCAGUAGGGAAUCUUCCGCAAUGGACGAAAGUCUGACGGAGCAACGCCGCGUGAGUGAUGAAGGCUUUCGGGUCGUAAAACUCUGUUGCUAGGGAAGAACAAGUGCUAGUUGAAUAAGCUGGCACCUUGACGGUACCUAACCAGAAAGCCACGGCUAACUACGUGCCAGCAGCCGCCGUAA
rnacentral:rRNA from 1 species